UGGGGAAUAUUGGACAAUGGGCGCAAGCCUGAUCCAGCCAUGCCGCGUGGGUGAUGAAGGCCUUAGGGUUGUAAAGCCCUUUCGGCGGGGAAGAUAAUGACGGUACCCGCAGAAGAAGCCCCGGCUAACUUCGUGCCAGCAGCCGCGGUAAUACGAAGGGGGCUAGCGUUGCUCGGAAUCACUGGGCGUAAAGCGCACGUAGGCGGCUUUUUAAGUCAGAGGUGAAAUCCUGGAGCUCAACUCCAGAACUGCCUUUGAUACUGGAGAGCUUGAGUCCGGGAGAGGUGAGUGGAACUGCGAGUGUAGAGGUGAAAUUCGUAGAUAUUCGCAAGAACACCAGUGGCGAAGGCGGCUCACUGGCCCGGUACUGACGCUGAGGUGCGAAAGCGUGGGGAGCAAACAGG
rnacentral:rRNA from 1 species